AGGAUGAACGCUGGCGGUCUGCUUAACACAUGCAAGUCGAACGGGCGUAGCAAUACGUUAGUGGCGGACGGGUGAGUAACGCGUGAGAAUCUACCUUCAGGACGGAGACAACAGUUGGAAACGACUGCUAACCCCCGAUGUACUGAAAAGGCAAAUAUUUAUAGCCUGAAGAAGAGCUCGCGUCCGAUUAGCUAGUUGGAGAGGUAAAAGCUCACCAAGGCGACGAUCGGUAGCUGGUCUGAGAGGACGAUCAGCCACACUGGGACUGAGACACGGCCCAGACUCCUACGGGAGGCAGCAGUGGGAAUUUUCCGCAAUGGGCGAAAGCCUGACGGAGCAAGACCGCGUGGGGGAAGAAGGCUCUUGGGUUGUAAACCCCUUUUCUCUGGGAAGAAAGUUGUGAGAGCAGCCUGACGGUACCAGAGGAAUCAGCAUCGGCUAACUCCGUGCCAGCAGCCGC
rnacentral:rRNA from 1 species